UUAGAUUUUAUUUAUUAAUAAUUUAUAUUUUUUUAUAAAGUAUUAAAAAUAAUUAUAAAAUAUAAAGUUUUAGUAUUGUUUAAAGAAAAAAUAAUUUUAAUAAUAGUUUAAUAGUAUUGUAAAAGAAAAUUGAAAUAAUUUGAAAAAAUUUUAUUAUAAAAGAAAAUUUAAUUUAUUGUACCUU
rnacentral:rRNA from 1 species